rnacentral:lncRNA from 1 species
UUUUACGAAAUGGAACACUGUACGUGAUAUGCGCCGGACAGAUAUAUAGGGUUUGGCACUACUGGUAAGGCGCGACCAUUGCCCCCGGAGAUCCCGGAAUCGAUACCCAUUAGGGUCAAAGUCCUUCCGAUGGUGGAAGGCAUUGCGCCCCUAGUUGAUGGACGGUGGUGACCUGGGAUAAAAUUAACCUGCGAGCGGACCAGGAACGGAGUUGGGCCGCUGUCGACCCGGCAGAUU